AUGACUAAAAGGACAAAGAAGGCUGGAAUUGUUGGCAAAUAUGGUACCCGUUAUGGUGCUAGUCUGCGUAAGCAGAUUAAGAAGAUGGAAGUUAGUCAGCACAGCAAAUUUUUUUGUGAAUUUUGUGGAAAGUAUGCUGUGAAGAGAAAAGCUGUAGGAAUAUGGGGAUGCAAGGAUUGUGGCAAAGUGAAAGCAGGAGGAGCUUACACUUUGAACACUGCUAGUGCCGUUACUGUCCGGAGCACAAUCAGGAGGUUGAGGGAACAAACUGAAAGUUAA